UCGCUUCAACCCGGGAGGCAGAGGUCACAGUGAGCUGAGAUCGAGCCACUGCACCCCAGCCUGGGCGACAGGACGCCAGUGAGAUGCCUCUGGCCAAAUCCCACGGGAGUGGUUCCCUGGCAUCACGCGUCCAGGCUCCGCCCCGGCCCUUCUCGCGGCUCCCAUUGGCUCGGCCGCGGACUCCUGGGGCGCCGACACCUCCUACUGGCCGCCGCGGCGAGGUCAGGGAGCAGGGCACUGGCCAGUCCCAGCUGAGUUGGGAGGUGUCGGGGACGCAAGUGACUUCACAGAGCACAAUGUCAUAACCUUAAGUAACACCAGACAACUUUUCCUAAAGUGGGGAUAAGAUAGGCUUGCUCUGUAGGCUGCAGGUCUUAAGCACCUGCGGCGGCAUCUGAUCGCGCGGAUUCGAGUCCCCUCCGCCCCUGAGUCGUGGCGUGGCUUCCAGGAGACUGAAGAGAUAUACUUGUCAUGAAUGGAUUGCAAACAUAACCUUCAAGAGCCAAGAUCUUGCUGUAUCGUCCAGGCUGAAGUGCAGUGGCACCAUCAUAGCUCACUGCAUCCUUCACUCAGUGAUCCUAAGGCUCAAGUGAUCCUCCCACCCGAGCCUCCUGAGUAACUGAGACUACAGGCAUGUGCCACCACGCCCACCUAAUUUUUAAAUUUUUUGUAGAGACUGCGACUUGUUAUGUUGCCCAGGCUGGUCUCAAACUCCUAGGCUCAAGCAAUCCUCCUACCUCUGUCUCCCAAAGUGUUGGGAUUACAGGCAUGAGCCACUGUAUCCAGCCUAGGUUUUUUUUUUUCAGACGGAGUCUCGUUCUGUCGCCAGGCUGGAGUGCAGUGGCGCAAUCUCAGCUCACUGCAAACUCCGCCUCCCGGGUUCAAGCGAUUCUCCUGCCUCAGCCUCCUGAGUAGCUGGGACUACAGGCAUGCGCCACCACACCCAGCUAAUUUUUGUAUUUUUAGUAGAGAUGGGGUUUCACCAUGUUGGCCGGGAUGGUCUCGAUCUCUUGACCUCCUGAUCCACCCGCCUUGGCCUCCCAAAGUGCUGGAAUUACAGGUGUGAGCCACCGUGCCCAGCCAGCCUAGCUUGCAAAAAUACUUACACCCAAGCCCCACCUGCCCGAGAUUCUGAUUUGCCUAGGCAUCUGUAUUUUAAAAGAUCCACAGGUGAUUCUAAUGUGCAACCAAAGUUGAGGAUCUCUGGUCUAGGCAGAAAUGUUGUUCCCUUUUUCCCUUAUGGGCUGAAUAAAAAUAAGUUUCUCUUUAAUAAAGAAAA